rnacentral:lncRNA from 1 species
GGAGCGGGCUCGGCCGCCCCGCGCCUUUACCUGAGCGGGGCCCGCCCCCCGCGCACCGGUCCCGGCGGGCACCUGGCGGUCGCUGGGGACGCGGCAGAGGGGAGGAGACGCCGCACGGGGCGGGCGUUCCGGGGCCGCCGCCGAACUUUUCUCCGAGAAGUCCCACGUUUGGGGGCCGGAGCGGCAGGGCGGGGAGGGGAGAGCGGAGUUCCUGGAAGGAGCCGCUCGGCGCCGCCGCUGCACAACAUGGCCUCCUCCGCCUCCUCGUCUGCGGCCGGCGCCGAGGGCACCCCUCCUGCGCAGGGUGACUAUGGAUCCUACUAUUCGCAGAGCUCUAGAAAGGUACUUAAAGAAGCCAGUCUGCAGUGGUCAUGUGGGAGAGCACAGGUUCGAGUGGAGGCCGGAGCAGUGGCGAUCUAGCCCUGAUCCUCAUCACACCGAGUGAAUUUGGGGCUUGCUGUUUUCCCCAUUUUGGACGUUUGCUGAUAUGUGCCAUUUUAUUUGAAGAUGGAAGUAAGUGACUUUCACAUAAAUUAAUUGAUGACUAUAUCAGAAUCUUCCAGC